AUUGAACGCUGGCGGCAGGCCUAACACAUGCAAGUCGAGCGGAUGAAGGGAGCUUGCUCCUGGAUUCAGCGGCGGACGGGUGAGUAAUGCCUAGGAAUCUGCCUGGUAGUGGGGGAUAACGUCCGGAAACGGGCGCUAAUACCGCAUACGUCCUGCGGGAGAAAGUGGGGGAUCUUCGGACCUCACGCUAUCAGAUGAGCCUAGGUCGGAUUAGCUAGUUGGUGGGGUAAAGGCCUACCAAGGCGACGAUCCGUAACUGGUCUGAGAGGAUGAUCAGUCACACUGGAACUGAGAAACGGUCCAGACUCCUACGGGAGGCAGCAGUGGGGAAUAUUGGACAAUGGGCGAAAGCCUGAUCCAGCCAUGCCGCGUGUGUGAAGAAGGUCUUCGGAUUGUAAAGCACUUUAAGUUGGGAGGAAGGGCAGUAAGUUAAUACCUUGCUGUUUUGACGUUACCAACAGAAUAAGCACCGGCUAACUUCGUG
rnacentral:rRNA from 1 species